UACAGAGGUCUCAAGCGUUGUUCGGAUUCAUUGGGCGUAAAGGGUGUGUAGGUGGCAGUGUUAGUCAAUUGUUAAAACCCGAGGCUCAACCUCGGACAUGCGAUUGAAACGGCACAGCUAGAGGAUGGCAGGGAUGUAUGGAACUCAUGGAGUAGGGUGAAUCCGUUGAGUAUACAUGGGGAACACCAAAGCGAAGGCAGUACAUUGGGCCACUCCGAGACACUGAACACGGAAAGCGUGGGUAGCGUAAGUGGGAAUUGAUGAUACCCGUCGGUAGUCCAGACCCAA
rnacentral:rRNA from 1 species